GAGAGUUUGAUCAUGGCUCAGGACGAACGCUGGCGGCGUGCCUAAUACAUGCAAGUCGAGCGAGCGGAACUAACAGAUUUACUUCGGUAAUGACGUUAGGAAAGCGAGCGGCGGAUGGGUGAGUAACACGUGGGGAACCUGCCCCAUAGUCUGGGAUACCACUUGGAAACAGGUGCUAAUACCGGAUAAGAAAGCAGAUCGCAUGAUCAGCUUUUAAAAGGCGGCGUAAGCUGUCGCUAUGGGAUGGCCCCGCGGUGCAUUAGCUAGUUGGUAAGGUAAAGGCUUACCAAGGCGAUGAUGCAUAGCCGAGUUGAGAGACUGAUCGGCCACAUUGGGACUGAGACACGGCCCAAACUCCUACGGGAGGCAGCAGUAGGGAAUCUUCCACAAUGGACGCAAGUCUGAUGGAGCAACGCCGCGUGAGUGAAGAAGGUUUUCGGAUCGUAAAGCUCUGUUGUUGGUGAAGAAGGAUAGAGGUAGUAACUGGCCUUUAUUUGACGGUAAUCAACCAGAAAGUCACGGCUA
rnacentral:rRNA from 1 species